UCUUCCGCAAUGGACUACAGUCUGACGGAGCAACGCCGCGUGAGUGAUGAAGGUUUUCGGAUCGUAAAACUCUGUUGUUAGGGAAGAACAAGUACCGCUCGAAUAGGGCGGUACCUUGACGGUACCUAACCAGAAAGCCACGGCUAAUUACGUGCUAGCAGCCGCGGUAAUACGUAGGUGGCAAACGUUGUCCGGAAUUAUUGGGCGUAAAGCGCGCGCAGGCGGUUUCUUAAGUAUGAUGUGAAAGCCCCCGGCUCAACCGGGGAGGGUCAUUGGAAACUGGGGAACUUGAGUGGAGAAGAGGAGAGUGGAAUUCCACGUGUAGCGGUGAAAUGCGUAGAGAUGUGGAGGAACACCAGUGGCGAAGGCGACUCUCUGGUCUGUAACUGACGCUGAGGCGCGAAAGCGUGGGGAGCGAACAG
rnacentral:rRNA from 1 species